rnacentral:lncRNA from 1 species
CGAAAUGCUUCCACGAUGUAAUGCAUAUACUGAAUCCAAAUACUAGUUUGCAACAGUAAUGUUUCAAUAAUGUCUACACGGAUGCUAGUUUAUAACAGUAAAGAACAAAUGCAGAAAUUCGACAGCACCACAGCGGAUAUGAACCAAGCAUAUGCCAUAACAAUGUACUCAUCACAGUAAGCAAGCCUAGAAGAUAGCAUUAUCAAAAAAAAAAAAAUGUAGAUUUUCACUGCUACAGGUUUGUAACCACUGCCGAAAAGUUAAACCGAGGAGUUACCGUAAUCGUAGUAAUUGCAGUAGAGCCCAAAUCAAAACAGCAGCAGCUUGAGAUCU